rnacentral:rRNA from 1 species
UAGGGGAAUCUUCCACAAUGGACGAAAGUCUGAUGGAGCAACGCCGCGUGAGUGAAGAAGGGUUUCGGCUCGUAAAACUCUGUUGUUAAAGAAGAACAUAUCUGAGAGUAACUGUUCAGGUAUUGACGGUAUUUAACCAGAAAGCCACGGCUAACUACGUGCCGG